rnacentral:misc_RNA from 1 species
UGAGAAUGCAUGAAUUUUUCUGUAGAGUUUUUGAGUGGUGCUGCGCUUGUACAAUAAAUUUGUUAUUAUGCCAAACAAUACAAAUAAAAUACACACUCACAUUAACACUCUCACUUUGGACAAUUUAUGGAAAAACAAAAAGAAGCAGAGCAGAGGAAAACUAAACUGAACUGAACAGAACAGAAAAAGAGCGAUACGUCCCCGUUAGACAGUUUUAGUAAAGUAGCUGCUGAUUGAGUAAAAAGUUGUUGGGAACCAAAAAGGAAAAACUUAUUUAACGCAUUUUACUUUUUUUAAUUUAAGACCCACAUAAUAAUAAAAAAAAAACAAUUUUAAAAGAAAAAUAUUUAAAAAGAAAGUUAUUAAAACAUUGUUCAAUAAAGUUACGGAAAAAAUUAAACAAAUAUUCUAAAAAACAAAUAUAUAAUUGUAGCAAAUAAAAUUAUAUUUUUUUAAACAACAAAUUACAAAAGCUCAUCAUGACUUAUAUACCGAAAAAAAAUUCCUAUUAUUCCCGCUCUCAUACAGCUAUGAAUUUAAUAAAUAUGGAUUCAGAAAAUCGGGUUGUUUUAAAUGUUGGCGGCAUUAGACAUGAGACAUAUAAGGCAACAUUAAAGAAAAUCCCUGCCACUAGACUGUCAAAAUUAACGGAAGCGUUGGCCAACUAUGAUCCACUACUAAAUGAAUAUUUUUUUGAUCGACAUCCGGGAGUUUUUGCCCAGGUGUUAAAUUAUUAUAGAACUGGUAAGCUUCAUUAUCCUACGGAUGUAUGUGGACCACUAUUUGAAGAAGAAUUGGAAUUUUGGGGUUUAGAUUCAAAUCAAGUUGAACCCUGUUGUUGGAUGACUUACACACAGCAUCGUGACACUCAAGAAACUCUUGCCGUACUAGAUCGUUUAGAUUUAGAUACAGAAAAACCGUCCGAAGAGGAAUUAGCUCGAAAAUUUGGUUUCGAAGAAGACUAUUAUAAGGGAACAUUAUCAUGGUGGCAGGAAAUAAAACCACGAAUAUGGUCACUAUUCGAUGAGCCAUAUAGUUCAAAUGCCGCAAAAAUAAUUGGUGUUGUAUCGGUGUUCUUUAUAUGCAUUUCAAUAUUAUCGUUCUGUUUGAAAACCCACCCGGAUAUGAGAGUACCGUAUAUUGUGAAUAAAACGGUAGUCACAUCAAAUGGCAGUUCCUCCUGGUAUUUGGAUAAGCCUCAGACAAAUGCCCACAUAGCUUUUUUCUAUAUUGAAUGUGUAUGUAAUGCCUGGUUUACAUUUGAAAUACUAGUCCGUUUUAUAUCAUCACCGAAUAAGUGUGACUUUAUUAAAUCUUCAGUGAAUAUCAUUGAUUACAUUGCCACUCUCAGUUUUUACAUUGAUUUGGUAUUACAACGUUUCGCUUCACAUUUAGAGAAUGCCGAUAUAUUGGAAUUCUUCUCAAUCAUACGUAUUAUGCGUUUAUUUAAACUGACGCGACAUUCGUCGGGUCUGAAAAUUCUCAUACAAACAUUUAGAGCCUCUGCCAAGGAGUUGACAUUAUUGGUAUUUUUCCUUGUACUGGGUAUUGUAAUUUUCGCAAGUCUUGUCUACUAUGCGGAACGAAUACAAACGAAUCCCCACAAUGAUUUCAAUAGCAUACCGUUGGGUUUAUGGUGGGCCCUAGUAACGAUGACCACAGUGGGUUAUGGCGAUAUGGUGCCAAAAACCUAUAUUGGCAUGUUUGUGGGUGCAUUAUGUGCUCUAGCCGGUGUACUAACCAUUGCACUGCCAGUGCCCGUUAUUGUUAGCAACUUUGCCAUGUACUAUUCGCAUACACAGGCACGAGCAAAACUGCCAAAGAAACGUAGACGUGUGCUUCCGGUCGAACAGCCCCGUCCACCCAGGCUGCCAGGUCAAGCAGGAGGUGUAAGCGGUUGUGGUACACCCGGUUCUGGACCUAACUCCGGCCCCAUGGGAUCUGGUACCGGUCCUAGACGUAUGAAUAAUAAAACCAAAGACUUAGUUAGUCCAAAAUCGGAUGUGGCCUUUGGUUUUGACUAAAAACUCAUUUUAACAAAACAAACAAUAGCAAAAUCCAUUUAACAAGUUUCAAAUUGACAACGCUCAUAUUCCAAAUAAAAAAAAUGAAUGAAAAAUUUAUAUCACAAAAAAAGUAAAAGAAAAAACACAAAUGACACAUUUUUCCAAAAAAAAAAACGCUCAAAAAACUAACACUUCUGCCUCAUAAAUGGAAGCAAAAUGAAAUGGGAGGGUCCAAUUGGUGCCAGUAUUGUUGCCAUGAGUCCACGUACUAUGCUCGAUUUAAAUCCCGCCUUGGCCAUGGGCAAACCAACAUUUGAAUCUCGAGGACCACCCAUAACAUCGAAAGACUUUAAAGAUACCGAUAAACAUACAACAGAUGCAGCAAAGAAAAACUUUUUAUAGAGUCAUUGAAAAAAUAAUUAACAGAUUUAUUAC